rnacentral:rRNA from 1 species
UACGGGGGGGGCAAGCGUUGUUCGGAAUUACUGGGCGUAAAGGGUUCGUAGGUGGCCAACUAAGUCAGACGUGAAAUCCCUCAGCUUAACUGGGGAACUGCGUCUGAUACUGGAUGGCUUGAGUUUGGGAGAGGGAUGCGGAAUUCCAGGUGUAGCGGUGAAAUGCGUAGAUAUCUGGAGGAACACCGGUGGCGAAGGCGGCAUCCUGGACCAACACUGACACUGAGGAGCGAAAGCCAGGGGAGCAAACGGG